GGAUUCGUGACCCGGUCUUACACCGGGAGUUCAUAACCCUUUGUUGUCCGACUCUGUUGCCUCCGGGGCGACCCUGCCUUCGGGCGGGGGCUCCGGGUGGACACUUCAAACUCUUGCGUAACUUUGCAGUCUGAGUAAACUUAAUUAAUAAAUUAAAACUUUUAACAACGGAUCUCUUGGUUCUGGCAUCGAUGAAGAACGCAGCGAAAUGCGAUAAGUAAUGUGAAUUGCAGAAUUCAGUGAAUCAUCGAAUCUUUGAACGCACAUUGCGCCCCCUGGUAUUCCGGGGGGCAUGCCUGUUCGAGCGUCAUUUCACCACUCAAGCCUCGCUUGGUAUUGGGCAACGCGGUCCGCCGCGUGCCUCAAAUCGACCGGCUGGGUCUUCUGUCCCCUAAGCGUUGUGGAAACUAUUCGCUAAAGGGUGUUCGGGAGGCUACGCCGUAAAACAACCCCAUUUCUAAGGUUGACCUCGGAUCAGGUAGGGAUACCCGCUGAACUUAAGCAUAUCAAUAAGGCGGAGGAAAUCUUUACUUUUGAU
rnacentral:rRNA from 1 species